UCAUUCACUCUUCCUCUCUGUUACUGUUUUAACAGCGGAUAAUUCUUCAGACUCUGUUCAGGUAUACCCAGUGUUUCAUCCAGCAUUCUUGCGAAGAAGACGAGGUCUGUUGUGAAGAGGCCAUGGUCCCAGGAUGAGACUAAAGCUGUCUUUAGACACCUAAAGGGUCACAUCAUGGAUGGACGUACUGCCUCCAAAGAGGACUGUGAAAAAUGCAAAAUGGCAGAGCAUCCGGUAUUAGCAGCCAGAACAGUUCAAAAUAUCCGAGACUUUGUGAGAAAUAGGGGUAUAUCCCUUAGGAGACAUGACAAUGAAGACUGAUGUGGAUCAGUAAAAAAAUAUUAGAUGUUUUUGCCUCUGUCCUGUCAACAACAGUCAACAAUGGUCCCAUGUUAGGGCUUUAUUGAACGGACAUUUCACUAAUUUUCACAAGUGACUAAUUUACACUACAUUUUAAAUGGAGUUUUCCCAUUGACUUGAAAAUACAGUCUAAGACUAGGCUUAAUCCCGGUCUGAGAAACUUUCCCAUAUAUUUCUAGAUACACAGAUAAGCCUUAACAUUUAAAAACACGUUCUUGUUUCUAAUUAAUAGUUAAUUUUACCAUAUAUGUAGAUCAGAUCCAUGUACUGUAUAUUAGCACUGCAUAGUUGUACAGUUACUGCCUGUGUCACUGUAUACUUUUAUGCCCUGUUGUUCAUUGGUCAGGACUCCCACAGUACGACCAUAGGGCAAGUACCCGAUUGGUGGAGUGGCUGACGUGGUGGUGUGUUAGUGUGUGUUGUGCUGGUGUGAGUGGAUUAGACACAACAGUGCUGCUAGUUUUUUUACACACUGUAUCCACUCUGUUAAACAAUCCUUUGUUGUUGAUCCAUUUUGUAGAAGUCAGAGAAUUUAUAGCUCCUCUGCUACUGUACAGGACGCUGUUGGCUGGAAAGUUUUGGUUGGUUGACAGUCACUACUAGACUGAAAUUUGAGGUGUUUUAAAAUCUAGCAGCAUUGCUAUAUCUGAUCUACUCACAGCAUGAAUUUCAGUAAUUUUUAGUCAGUUACUGUUUUCUUAUUUGUGAAGUUUAUCUGUUUUCAACAAACAUUUUAACAAUGAAACUUUUUAACUUAAUUGAACUAGAAUGCCAAAUAUAAAAGAAACCUAAUAGCCCAUACAAACUAGAGAGUUUGAAGUUGGAUAUCUUGAUGUCUUUUCAAUUAAAUACAGUUAUUAAAUUAUCA